CUUACAUGCACGCAGCUGAGCAGCCAUGCCGCGUGAGUGAUGAGGCCUUCGGGUUGUAAACCUCUUUUAUUGGGGACGUAAAUUUCGGGGCUGUAGCGUGAUGGCCGGCCCGUUCCAAGCCAGGACCCCCGGGUUUAUAACAUCCCCCCCGGCAAUAAAAUAAGUUUCACUUUGAUUGGGAUGAAAUUUUCCCUGGGGAU
rnacentral:rRNA from 1 species